rnacentral:rRNA from 1 species
UACGUGGGGCGCAAGCGUUAUCCGGAAUUAUUGGGCGUAAAGAGCUCGUAGGCGGUUUGUCGCGUCUGCCGUGAAAGUCCGGGGCUCAACUCCGGAUCUGCGGUGGGUACGGGCAGACUAGAGUGAUGUAGGGGAGACUGGAAUUCCUGGUGUAGCGGUGAAAUGCGCAGAUAUCAGGAGGAACACCGAUGGCGAAGGCAGGUCUCUGGGCAUGAACUGACGCUGAGGAGCGAAAGCGUGGGUAGCAAACAGG